rnacentral:rRNA from 1 species
GUGGGGAAUCUUGCGCAAUGGGCGAAAGCCUGACGCAGCGACGCCGCGUGAGGGAAGAAGGCUUUAGGGUUGUAAACCUCUUUCAGCGGGGACGAGGCCGACACGGUUAAUAGCCGUGAGCGGUGACGGUACUCGCAGAAGAAGCCCCGGCUAACUACGUGCCAGCAGCCGCGGUAAUACGUAGGGGGCAAGCGUUGUCCGGAAUCAUUGGGCGUAAAGCGCGUGUAGGCGGCACGGUCAGUCUGGUGUGAAACCUUGGGGCUCAACCCCAAGCCUGCACUGGAUACUGCCGCGCUCGAGUCCGGGAGAGGGAAGCGGAAUUCCUAGUGUAGCGGUGAAAUGCGCAGAUAUUAGGAAGAACACCGAUGGCGAAGGCAGCUUCCUGGAACGGUACUGACGCUGAGACGCGAAAGCGUGGGGAGCGAACAGGAUUAGAAACCCGAGUAGUCC